GGUGAAGAACGCAGCAAAAUGCGAUAAGUAAUGUGAAUUGCAGAAUUCAGUGAAUCAUCGAAUCUUUGAACGCACAUUGCGCCCGCCAGUAUUCUGGCGGGCAUGCCUGUUCGAGCGUCAUUUCAACCCUCAAGCUCAGCUUGGUGUUGGGACUCGCGGUAACCCGCGUUCCCCAAAUCGAUUGGCGGUCACGUCGAGCUUCCAUAGCGUAGUAAUCAUACACCUCGUUACUGGUAAUCGUCGCGGCCACGCCGUAAAACCCCAACUUCUGAAUGUUGACCUCGGAUCAGGUAGGAAUACCCGCUGAACUUAAGCAUAUCAAUAAGCGGAGGA
rnacentral:misc_RNA from 1 species